ACCUGACUGCUAUCGGAUUGGUACUAAGCCAUGUGAGUCAUUGUAGCAAUACAAGGCAUACGGCUCAGUAACACGUAGUCAAUCUGCCCUAUGGACGUGGAUAACCUCGGGAAACUGAGAAUAAUCCGCGAUAGAUCAUAAUGCCUGGAACGGUUUAUGGUCCAAAUGAUUCGUCGCCAUAGGAUGGGACUGCGGCCUAUCAGCUUGUUGGUGAGGUAAUGGCCCACCAAGGCUAUUACAGGUACGGGCUCUGAGAGGAGAAGCCCGGAGAUGGGUACUGAGACACGGACCCAGGCCCUAUGGGGCGCAGCAGGCGAGAAACCUUUGCAAUGUGCGCAAGCACGACAAGGUUAAUCCGAGUGUUUCCUGCUAAAGGAAUCUUUUGUUAGUUCUAAAACCACUGAUGAAUAAGGGGUGGGCAAGUUCUGGUGUCAGCCGCCGCGGUAAAACCAGCACCUCAAGUGGUCAGGAGGAUUAUUGGGCCUAAAGCAUCCGUAGCCGGUUCUGUAAGUUUCCGGUUAAAUCCACUAGCUCAACUAAUGGGCUGCCGGAAAUACUGCAGAACUAGGGAGUGGGAGAGGUAGACGGUACUCGGGAGGAAGGGGUAAAAUCCUUUGAUCUCUUGAUGACCACCUGUGGCGAAGGCGGUCUACCAGAACACGUUCGACGGUGAGGGAUGAAAGCUGGGGGAGCAAACCGGAUUAGAUACCCGGGUAGUCCCAGCUGUAAACGAUGCAGACUCGGUGAUGCACUGGCUUUUGGCCAGUGCAGUGCCGCAGGGAAGCCGUUAAGUUUGCCGCCUGGGAAGUACGUACGCAAGUAUGAAACUUAAAGGAAUUGGCGGGGGAGCACCACAAGGGGUGAAGCCUGCGGUUCAAUUGGAGUCAACGCCGGAA
rnacentral:rRNA from 1 species